GGGUCAUUGUUGCUGAGGA
rnacentral:piRNA from 1 species